AGGACGAACGCUGGCGGCGUGCUUAACACAUGCAAGUCGAGCGAUGAAGCUCUUCGGAAGUGGAUUAGCGGCGGACGGGUGAGUAACACGUGGGUAACCUGCCUCAUAGAGGGGAAUAGCCUUCCGAAAGGAAGAUUAAUACCGCAUAAGAUUGUAAUAUCGCAUGAUAUAGCAAUUAAAGGAGUAAUCCGCUAUGAGAUGGACCCGCGUCGCAUUAGCUAGUUGGUGAGGUAACGGCUCACCAAGGCGACGAUGCGUAGCCGACCUGAGAGGGUGAUCGGCCACAUUGGGACUGAGACACGGCCCAGACUCCUACGGGAGGCAGCAGUGGGGAAUAUUGCACAAUGGGGGAAACCCUGAUGCCAGCAACGCCGCGUGAGUGAUGACGGUCUUCGGAUUGUAAAGCUCUGUCUUUAGGGACGAUAAUGACGGUACCUAAGGAGGAAGCCACGGCUAACUACGUGCCAGCCGCAGC
rnacentral:rRNA from 1 species